GCUGGUGGCAUGCCUAAUACAUGCAAGUCGAACGAGAAAGCUCCUUCGGGAGUGAUAGAGUGGCGCACGGGUGAGUAACGCGUAGGUGAUAUGCCUGUUAGUGGGGGACAACAUCGUGAAAACGGUGCUAAUACCGCAUAAGCUUGGUGACAUUGAAAAAACUAAGGAAAGGGGGCCUUCGGCUCUCGCUGACAGAUUGGCCUGCGUAUCAUUAGCUUGUUGGUGGGGUAAUGGCCUACCAAGGCGACGAUGAUUAACUGGUCUGAGAGGAUGAUCAGUCACACUGGAACUGAGACACGGUCCAGACUCCUACGGGAGGCAGCAGUAGGGAAUAUUGCGCAAUGGAGGAAACUCUGACGCAGCAAUGCCACGUGAGUGAGGAAGGUCUUCGGAUUGUAAAGCUCUGUCCUAUAGGAAGAAUGGCCAUAUGGUUAAUACCCAUUUGGUUUGACGGUACUAUAGAAGAAAGCACCGGCUAACUCCGUGCCAGCAGCCGCGGUAAUACGGAGGGUGCAAGCGUUGUUCGGAUUUAUUGGGCGUAAAGCGCGCGCAGGCGGACUAGCAAGUCAGAUGUGAAAUCUCGGGGCUUAACCCCGAAACUGCGUCUGAAACUGUUAGUCUAGAGUCUCACAGGGG
rnacentral:rRNA from 1 species